rnacentral:rRNA from 1 species
UUCGCCCUGUUUUUCAAAAACAUGUCUUUUCUGAUUAUAAUUUAAAGUCUGACCUGCCCAAUGUAGGAGUUGAAUGGCCGCGGUAUUUUGACCGUGCAAAGGUAGCAUAAUCAUUAGUUUUUUAAUUGAAAGCUGGAAUGAACGGUUGGACGAGAAAAUAACUGUCUCAAUAUAAUUUAAAUUAGAAUUUUAUUUUUAAGUAAGAAAGCUUAAAUAUAUUUAAAAGACGAGAAGACCCUAUAGAGUUUUAUAUUUAUUAUUAUAUUUAUUAUUAAGUAUGGUAUAAGUUUUUAUAAUAAUAAAUAUUUUGUUGGGGUGACAGGAAAAUUGAAUGAACUUUUUUUAUAUUAUUAACAUUGAUUUAUGAGUGUUUGAUCCAUUAUUAAUGAUUAAAAGAUUAAAUUACCUUAGGGAUAACAGCGUAAUUUUUUUUGAGAGUUCUUAUCGAAAAAAGAGUUUGCGACCUCGAUGUUGGAUUAAAAUAAACUUUUGGUGUAGGAGCGAGAAAGUUGGGUCCUGUUCGACCUAAUUAUAAAUUUUACUUGAUCUAGUUUCGGGGGGGAGG